rnacentral:lncRNA from 1 species
AGUUAUUACAUUUUUCAGUAUCUUAUUUACCAUUUGGAAACCAAUGGUUGUUGUCUCAGUAAAUGUGAAAAUGCAGCAAUUAUAUGAACUUAUACUAUAAUAAUCUAGAAAUAAUGUAAAAUAUUUUACUCAAUUGUGCAUUUUCACUCAGAUAUCUCUUUUUUUCUCCUGGACGUUAAGCAACCUAAAGCCUUUUUUAGCUAUUCUCAAAGUGUAACCUACUUAAAGUGUAUGAUAAAAUUUUGUAAAGAGAACUAAUUCCAUUAAAAGGGAUGAACAACACAAAAUCUGAAUUGUCUAAAUGAAUAUUGUUUUGAAUUUUUAAACAGUAUAUAAAUGUAAAUGUACUCAGGAAAUUAUGCACAGUAUUUUGUCAAC